rnacentral:misc_RNA from 1 species
AAAAAAAAAAAAAAAA